GAAUAACAGCCAUAAACACAAUAACCUCAACAAUAACAACAACUAUUUUUACGGACUAAAUAUUUAAGAGCGUUGACCACUAAACUUGUCUCGACGUCACUGCGCUGGUAAACCUACAGGUGAAUUGUCCGGCUUAGUACUGACCAGAUGCGGCGGUGAAUCUUGCUAGAAGAAAAUGCUCAAACCUAGCAGACUACGUCGGAGAAGUUAACUUAAUUCAAUAACCUGCAUUGAAGUAAGUCCUCUCACGUCCAGUGCGAUGAACCGACUUGUGGAAGCCAUCCCUCGCUGUGUGUAAUAUUAUGCAUAGCUAUUAACCAGUAGCUGAAGUGAAAUCUAAAUUCAAUACAU